GAGGGUAUAGCUCAGUGGUAGAGUGCCUGCCUAGCAUGCAGAAGGUCCUGAGUUUGAUCCCCAGUACCUCCA
rnacentral:tRNA from 1 species